UACGUAGGGUGCGAGCGUUGUCCGGAAUUAUUGGGCGUAAAGAGCUCGUAGGCGGUGUGUCACGUCGGCCGUGAAAACCUGCAGCUUAACUGUGGGCGUGCGGUCGAUACGGGCAUCACUGGAGUUCGGCAGGGGAGACUGGAAUUCCUGGUGUAGCGGUGGAAUGUGUAGAGAUCGGGAGGAACACCGGUGGCGAAGGCGGUGAGCUGGGCAGUAGCUGGACACUGAGGCGCGACAGCGUGGGGAGCAAACAGG
rnacentral:rRNA from 1 species